GGGGCCGGCGAGCAGGUGACCUCCGUCCCUACCGGGAGGACCAGGGCGGGCCGGCGAGGUCGAGGGGGACCCGCGGGUCUGAGGGAGGACGGAGUGGGGGAGUGCUGAGGGAGGACCCGGGGUGGGGAGCUGAGGGAGGAUCCGCAGGGCUGAGGGAGGAUCCAGGAGAGCUGAUAGAGGUCCCGGAGGGCUGAGGGAGGACCCAGGGGUCCUGAGGGAGGACGCAGGGGGCUGAGGGAAGACGCAGGGGGGCUGAGGGAGGAUCCUCGGAGCUGAAGGGGCAUCAGCUGGGCUGAGGGAGGACCCAGGGGGACUGCGGGAGCACCCGGGCGGGGGCUGAGGGAAGGAGGAUCCGCGGGGCUGAGUGGGCACCAGCUGGGCUGAGGGAGGAUCCAGGGGGAGCUGCGGAAGGAUCUGCGGGGCUGAGAGAGGAUCUAGAAGGGGUGAGAGAGGUCCCAGGAGGCUAAGGGGGGAAUCUGCAGAACUGAGGGAGGUCCCAGGGGGCAGUGAGGGAGGAUCCAUGGGCGCUGAGGUGGGAAUCUAGGGAGGCUGAGGGAGGAUCUGUGGGGAUGACGGAAGUUCAAGGGGGGCUGAAGAGGCACGCAGCGGGCUGAGGAGGACCUGAGAGGCUGAAGGAGGAUCCGAAAGGCUGAUACAGCGGGGCUGAGGGGGGAUCCGCGGGGUUGGCGGGGGCUGAGAAAUGACCCUGUAGUUCACAGCAAAAUGGAGUAAUUUAUGUCACAACGUAACCAAAAUGGAGUGGGGAGGGCCCUAAGGAAGCAGCUGUCACGCAUUUCUGAAAUGCCAGAGAGGCUCGCUAUUACCUUGUAAACAGAGCUUAUUCCGGGCAUUUCCACUGGCCUGCAGUAUUCCAGAUGAGAUGUUUGGACCAGGGCAGGCAGAUAGCAUCGCCUAUCUGCCUCAGCGAACCAGGGUCACUUUGUGCAAUGAGUUCAUGAGACCAGGGCCUUUGUUUUGUGAAAGUUACAAAUAAGGAGUGAAAUCACUUUGUCAGGCCCAGACAAACAGGGCUGGGAAGAACAGGAGGCUCAGGCUUAGUGUCUGAGAUAAGAAUUAUUCGCAAGGACUUUCUAAAAACCCCACAAGAAACCCUUUUGUGUCAUUCACGGGUCUCCUACUUUGACAAAAUUUAGACCAUCUUUAGGACUGCAGUAAUUCAGUUAAGAUGCUCGGAAUAAACACUUGCCCAGUAAUGGCAGCGCCACCAAUGAACUGAGGACAACUUUGAGCUUUGGCGUUGGGCCCCUGGAACCAAUGAACUCUUUCUAAGCAGCUUCUGUGAACCGCUCCCUUUUCGCUGAUAAAAGUUCCCUUUUCACUGAUAAAAAGUUCCCUUUACCCUUCCCUCACUGGGAAUGCUGGUGGCUUGCUGCUGUUGAUGAAAAGAGUCAAACUUUGUAAAAUAUUUUAAGAGAUAUAUUCUGAGCCAAAUAUGAGUAACCAUGGCCUGUGACACAGCCCUCAGGACAGAGGUCCUGAGAACAUGUUCCCAAGGUGGUUGGGGUGCAGCUUGGUUUUAUACAUUUUAGGGAGGCAUGAGACAUCAAUCAAAUACAUUUAAAACCUACAUUGGUUUGGUUCAGAAAGGCAGGACAACUCGAAGCAGGGGUCAAGGGUGCUGGCUUCCAGCUUAUAGGUAGAUUGAAAAAUUUUCUGUUUGACAAUUGGUUGAAUUUACCUGAAGACCUGGGAUUAACAGAAAGGAAUGUCUGGGUUAAGAUAAAAGAUUGUGGGUGGGGUGCAGUGGCUCACACCUGUAAUCCCAGCACUUUGGGAGGCUAAGGCAGGCGGAUCACGAGGUCAGGAGUUCGAGACCAGCCUGACCAACAUGGUGAAACCUCCUCUCUACUAAAAAUACAAAAAUUAGCUGGGCGUGGUGGUGUGUGCCUGUAAUCCCAGUUACUCAGGAGGCUGAGGCAGAAGAAUCACUUCAGCCCAGGAGGCGGAGGUUGAAGUGAGCCGAGAUUGCGCCACUGCACUCCAGCUUAGGCAAUAGAGUGAGACUCCAUCUAAAAAAAAAAAAAAAGGAAAGAAAAAAAAAUAUAUAUAUAUAUGAUUGUGGAGACCAAAGUUCUUAUUUGCAGAUGAAGCCUUCAGGUAUUAGGCUUCAGAGAGAAUAGGUUGUAAAAUGUUUAUCGGACUUAAAGUCUAUGUUGAUGUUAAUGCCAGAGAGGUAUAAUGAGGCAUGUCUGACCCCCACUUCUUAUGGCCUGAACCAGUCUUUGAGGUUAAAUUUUAAGAGUUCCAGGCCAGGCACAGUGGCUGACACCUGUAAUCCCAACACUUUGGGAGGCAGAGGUGGGCGAAUCACUUCAGGUCAGGAGUUCGAGACCAGCCUGGCCAACAUGGUGAAACCCGGUCUCCACUAAAAAAUAUACAAAAAUUAGCCAGGCAUGGUGGUGCGCACCUGUAAUCCCAGCUACUCAGGAGGCUGAGGCAGGAGAAUCACUUGAACCUGGGAGGCAGAGGUUGCAGUGAGCAGAGAUCGCACCACUGCACUCCAGCCUGGGUGACAGAGCAAGACUCCGUCAAAAAAAAAAAAUUUUUUUUAAGAGUUCCCUGGCCGAGGAGGAAGUCCAUUUAGAUGGCUGGGGAGCCUUAUAAAUUUAUUUUUUAUUUUUGGUUUACACUUGAUAAAAACUUCAGCCGAAUUAAAUUUAAAGUUUAAUUGAGCAAUGAAUGAUUCACGAAUCACGCAGCCCCCAGAAUCACAGCAGAUUCACAGAGACUCCAGCACAGCCACGUGGUGGAAGAUUCGUAGACAAAAAAAGGUAAAUGAUGUACAGAAAUUGAAAGUAAAGUACAAAACAGCUGGAUUGGUUUCAGGUUGGUGUUUGCCGUAUUUGAACACAGUUUGAACGCUCAGCAGUAUAUGAAUAGUUGAAGUGCAGCCUCUGGGAUUGGCCAAGACGCAGCUAUUGUUACAGUUGCAUACUCCUGUUAGGUUUUCAAUCUAUCUACCUAUUAAGCUAGGUUGCAGUUCAUCCACAAGGACUCAAAUAUAAAAAUAUGAAGUCCUUCUCAGGCCAUAUUUAGUUUGCUUCAGCAACUACCCUCUUUUGGUCAUUUUCUCAAUUUUGAGAGAUUGACCAAAACUUUAGUUGUUGUCACUAUCACCAUAGUAAAUGUACUUAUUUGCUCCUGAAAUCCAGUGGGAAACAGUAGAACAAUGAGUUUUCCAAAGGUAGGAACAAAGACUGAGUAGAGGGUACCUCUUUAUGCUGGAACAUCCUGUUUACAGGAGAAAAAACCUGGUCUGUUCUAGGAUUUAUAUGUAUCCUUAGUUUGAUUAUGUCACAUUUAGCAUGAGUGACUCCAUUUUAGUUUGGUUUGUCCUGUUGGGACCUAGUGCAUGAGCUUAGUCCAAAACAAUGGCCUCCCAUAAUUGUGUUUUUUAAAAAAUUCCCCCUUUUUGGUCAGGUUCUUACUUAGGUGAGAGUGUGACCAAAACUUGGGGCCUUAGCACCACUCUCUGUUACCAUCAUUUUGUGUUUCUGGUGUCAGCACAUCGUUCAUAGGUUAUGGUAUCCUCAUGGUCACAUAUUUCUUUCAGCUCUUUCAUUCCAGUUGAAGAGAGACCAUUUGACGUUCUAGAGAUAGCUGUGUGCAAUCAUUUAAAAUCUUUGAGAGAAUACAGUGCACCAGGGAGACUAUUAUUAUGCCUAUUGGGAGCAUAAUACCAAGAGUUUGGAGUAUGCUCCUUACCCAGGGUCCCCAUAAACCAAACCACCUAAAAUUAAAUAGAUUAAAGAAUGAGUGAGAUGAAGGGUCUACUUGCUUGACUAAGUGAUCUUUUCAUUAAUCUUCUACAACUGAAUUUUUAUAAUCUACAUUUAAUGUAUUCCUCCAUAGGCCACAGCUGCCAGCAGCUGCACAGGUACUUUUCUAUUUAACUAAUUCUAUUAUUUAGCAUAACUUUCACAAGAGAAUUUAAAGUCUGUUGUGUAACGAUAGUCUUUACAGUAGAAUCUGCUAGAAAGCCUAUUAUGAGGGAUAUAUUUCUAGUUAUUGCCUAUUUUAUUCUAAACGAUGGAAAAAGGACCUAACAAAUGAUGUCCUUUUAGAAAAGUGAAGGCCCCCUGACAAUGUUCUCUUUAACCCAUGAUGUGGGUUAAGAGGAGUUUUUACUGAUUAUGAGGAAAUAUAUGUACAAUUAAAGUUUUUCACCUACAUUGGGCCUUCGUCUUGUCUUUAUCAAAGUAUAAGUUUAUUCAUGUAUAAGGCUGGCUACAAAAUCCUUCACAAAUAAAAGUAUACCUUAUAACUGAACAUAAUAGAACCCCUUUUCAUUUCUAUUAUUCAUAGAGGCAUAAACAAGGAAAAAAAUAUUCAAAGAUAAGAGUCUCAUUAUAGAAGCCUUGAUCCAUGAUCAUGGGAAAAGCUGUUCACAUCAAGGAUGCCAUCUUCUUCUGGGAAGAAACUUUCUGGGUUAGUUUUACCUUAAGGAUUCCAAUGGGUGUACAGUUCCAAGAGUGUAGAGGGACCCCUUUCAGUUGUUUAUGAACCCAAGGUUCAAGGUUCCAAAGUUUUGUUGCAGUGUAGAAGGACAGUCUUUCUCUGAUGUUCUCAGAAGAGUCAGUCUUCAGGUUCUGGAUUGUGAAGGGGUUGAUUGUCCUCAGUGAACCAUAAAAAGUUUUCUUUAUCUGGUGAAAAUAUACUCUGGCAUAAUAAUUAGCUGUUAUAACAUAAAACAUGCAUUGAAAAUGACAGUGGAAUGAAAUUCAUUUAUACAUGUUUAAAUGACCCAUCAGGUAGCCAAAUGUACCUGAAGGUUUGAUUACCUUCCCAGGAAUAUGGAACCAACCAUUGGUUUUAUUUUAUUUUAUUUUAUUUUGAGAUGGAGUCUCACUCUAUUGCCCAGGCUGGAGUGCAGGGGCAUGAUCUUGGCUCACUGCAGCCUCCACCUCCCGGGUUCAAGCGAUUCUCCUGCCUCAGCCUCCUGCGUAGCUGGGACUGUAGGCACCCGCCACCACGCCCAGCUAAUUUUUACAUUUUUAGUAGAGACAGGGUUUCACCAUAUUGGCCAGGCUGGUCUUGAACUCCUGACUUUGUGAUCCACCCACCUCAGCCUCCCAAAGUGAUGGGAUUACAGGCAUGAGCCACCAUGCCCAGCUGUGUUUUUUUUUUACAAGAAUCAUCUGCUUAUUUAUUUUACAAAGUAAUUAUUUAAAUUGAGUACAUUUGGGCACAGUAGAUAUUGGACAUGAAAAGUAUUUGUAUCAGAAUGGGCAUCAGAAAAAUAGCAACUCAUCUUACACAUAAUAACUAGAAAAUAUUAUUCUGUCUGAUCAUUUAAGUGUUACAAAUCCUGAGAAUGUUAUACACUGAACAAAUUAGGUACUACCUUAAAAUUAAAUCUUGCUUGGAAAUAAUCCUUUAAAAAUGAUCUGAGGUACAAAUCAUCUAUGUAUUAAACGUGAGUCUUUGACAUUAUACAAAGAGUUUAAACAAAUAUAUAAAUUACAGGUCAGUGGCUCUUAAAAUAGCUACCAGUCAGGUUCAAGGACACACUGUUCCGCAAUUUCCCAUAAGCUGGGGUUUUCCAUUGCAGCCUCCACUUGCUCUUUGUUGUUUAUCUGCAUACUUAUAUCUUCUGUUGAGUGGGUUCCUUCAGAAAUGUAGAUUUCCAACUUAUGUUUAAAUGGUAAACACUGCUGAAGUUUUAUUCUUAAGCACAGCCCCAUAAGAAUCGCCAAAUAUCAAUGAGGUACUCUUGGUGUAAACUUGAUAAUAACCAGAUAGUCUUCUUCAUUUAUCUCCUGAACUUCCAUAUAACUUUCCGUUACCAAUUCCAGUUCUUCUAAAGUAUUGGGCUUUUCUGGGUCCCAGAUAGUUCGAAUCAAAUCAUAAACCUCUAGCACUUUCUCUUCCAUGAUCCGGGGCUGCCGGGCAGCUCCCCACUCAAAGAGGCCCGAGAGCCACAGGAUUCUGCUCAGUGUCCAGGAAAGCAGCCUCAGCUCUGCCAUCCCUGGCAACUGUGGAGGUAUUGGUUUUAAACAGUUUUCACAAUUUACAAGUUAACCACAUCAGUAUAUUAAAUUUGGGUCAUUUUAUCUUUUCCAUGAUGAAUCAUAAAAUCCAGAACCAUUAAUAACAAAAGCCUUAGAGUCUCAAGAGGGACAAGGUGGCCAUCCUGGUUCUCCAUGAGUCCAUGCUUAACACUGGACUUAUGUCCUCUUGAAUACCAGUUGUUUCUCCAAUUUAUCAUAGGUAAUUUGACUCAGACCUUGGAGUUCAAAUUGUAUAUCUAAACAAUUUUAGUAUUGGCUGGCUUAACAUGAAAAUCUGGCAAAGUAUUUUCUUGGAAUUUCAAUAAUUUUUUCUUUUUUUGAGACAGAGUCUCACUCUGUUGUCCAGGCUGGGGUACAGUGGCAUGAUGUUGGCGCACUGCAGCCUCCAUCUCCUGGGUUCAAGUGAUCCUCCUGCCUCAGCCUCCCAAGUAGCUGAGAUUACAGACUUGCACCACCAUACCCAGCUAAUUUUUGUAUUUUUAAUAGAUACAGGGUUUUGCCAUGUUGGCCAGGCUGGUCUGAAACUCCUGACCCUGUCAGGUGAUCUGCCCACCUCAGCCCCGCAAAGUGCUGGGAUAACAGGUGUGAGUCACUGUGCCUGGCCUGUAUUUAAUUUUUUCUGUUCCACUUGAGUUAGCAGUUUUAUGCAAGGGAAUUU
rnacentral:lncRNA from 1 species